rnacentral:rRNA from 1 species
UUGCUUCUGAUUGAUAACAUUUGAGUGAGUGGCGGACGGGUGAGUAACACGUGGGUAACCUGCCCUAAAGUGGGGGAUAACAUUUGGAAACAGAUGCUAAUACCGCAUAAAACCUAGCACCGCAUGGUGCAAGGUUGAAAGAUGGUUUCGGCUAUCACUUUAGGAUGGACCCGCGGUGCAUUAGUUAGUUGGUGAGGUAAAGGCUCACCAAGACCGUGAUGCAUAGCCGACCUGAGAGGGUAAUCGGCCACACUGGGACUGAGACACGGCCCAGACUCCUACGGGAGGCAGCAGUAGGGAAUCUUCCACAAUGGACGAAAGUCUGAUGGAGCAACGCCGCGUGAGUGAAGAAGGUUUUCGGAUCGUAAAACUCUGUUGUUGGAGAAGAACGUAUUUGAUAGUAACUGAUCAGGUAGUGACGGUAUCCAACCAGAAAGCCACGGCUAACUACGUGCCAGCAGCCGCGGUAAUACGUAGGUGGCAAGCGUUGUCCGGAUUUAUUGGGCGUAAAGCGAGCGCAGGCGGUUUCUUAAGUCUGAUGUGAAAGCCUUCGGCUCAACCGAAGAAGUGCAUCGGAAACUGGGAAACUUGAGUGCAGAAGAGGACAGUGGAACUCCAUGUGUAGCGGUGAAAUGCGUAGAUAUAUGGAAGAACACCAGUGGCGAAGGCGGCUGUCUGGUCUGUAACUGACGCUGAGGCUCGAAAGCAUGGGUAGCAAACAGGAUUAGAUACCCUGGUAGUCCAUGCCGUAAACGAUGAGUGCUAGGUGUUGGAGGGUUUCCGCCCUUCAGUGCCGCAGCUAACGCAUUAAGCACUCCGCCUGGGGAGUACGACCGCAAGGUUGAAACUCAAAGGAAUUGACGGGGGCCCGCACAAGCGGUGGAGCAUGUGGUUUAAUUCGAAGCAACGCGAAGAACCUUACCAGGUCUUGACAUCCUUUGACCACUCUAGAGAUAGAGCUUUCCCUUCGGGGACAAAGUGACAGGUGGUGCAUGGUUGUCGUCAGCUCGUGUCGUGAGAUGUUGGGUUAAGUCCCGCAACGAGCGCAACCCUUAUUACUAGUUGCCAGCAUUUAGUUGGGCACUCUAGUGAGACUGCCGGUGACAAACCGGAGGAAGGUGGGGACGACGUCAAAUCAUCAUGCCCCUUAUGACCUGGGCUACACACGUGCUACAAUGGAUGGUACAACGAGUCGCGAGACCGCGAGGUUUAGCUAAUCUCUUAAAACCAUUCUCAGUUCGGAUUGUAGGCUGCAACUCGCCUACAUGAAGCCGGAAUCGCUAGUAAUCGCGGAUCAGCAUGCCGCGGUGAAUACGUUCCCGGGCCUUGUACACACCGCCCGUCACACCAUGAGAGUUUGUAACACCCAAA